rnacentral:rRNA from 1 species
UACCCAGACUCCUACGGGAGGCAGCAGUGGGGGAUAUUGCACAAUGGGGGGAACCCUGAUGCAGCGACGCCGCGUGGGUGGAGGAGCGUUUCGGCGCGUAAAGCCCUAUCGGCAGGGAAGAAGGAGGACGGUACCUGACUAAGAAGCCCCGGCUAACUACGUGCCAGCAGCCGCGGGAAUACGUAGGGGGCAAGCGUUAUCCGGAUUUACUGGGUGUAAAGGGGGCGCAGACGGCAGCGCAAGCCGGCGGUCAAAUCGCGGGGCUCAACCCCGCCCAGCCGUCGGAACUGCCGGGCUAGAGUGGGCGAGAAGUGCGCGGAAUGCGUGGUGUAGCGGUGAAAUGCAUAGAUAUCACGCAGAACUCCGAUUGCGAAGGCAGCGCACCGGCGCCCUACUGACGCUCAGGCACGAAAGCGUGGGUAUCGAACAGGAUUAGAUACCCCCGUAUA